rnacentral:rRNA from 1 species
UGGGGAAUAUUGGACAAUGGGCGAAAGCCUGAUCCAGCCAUGCCGCGUGUGUGAAGAAGGUCUUCGGAUUGUAAAGCACUUUAAGUUGGGAGGCGUUACCGACAGAAUAAGCACCGGCUAACUCUGUGCCAGCAGCCGCGGUAAUACAGAGGGUGCAAGCGUUAAUCGGAAUUACUGGGCGUAAAGCGCGCGUAGGUGGUUUGUUAAGUUGGAUGUGAAAGCCCCGGGCUCAACCUGGGAACUGCAUCCAAAACUGGCAGGCUAGAGUACGGUAGAGGGUGGUGGAAUUUCCUGUGUAGCGGUGAAAUGCGUAGAUAUAGGAAGGAACACCAGUGGCGAAGGCGACCACCUGGACUGAUACUGACACUGAGGUGCGAAAGCGU